UACGUAGGGGGCAAGCGUUGUCCGGAAUCAUUGGGCGUAAAGAGCGCGUAGGCGGCCCAGUAAGUCCGCUCUGAAAGUCAGGGGCUCAACCCCUGGAUGCGGGUGGAUACUGCUGGGCUAGAGUCCGGAAGAGGUGAGUGGAAUUCCUGGUGUAGCGGUGAAAUGCGCAGAUAUCAGGAGGAACACCGGUGGCGAAGGCGGUUCUCUGGGCAUUACCUGACGCUGAGGAGCGAAAGUGUGGGGAGCAAACAGG
rnacentral:rRNA from 1 species